rnacentral:lncRNA from 1 species
UAUUUCUCCCAUUUGGAUUCAUCAAUUGUCAACACAUUUUGCCACGCAUUUCAUUUGUAUUUUUAUUUUCUUGACUGCACCAUUUGAGAGUUACUUGGAGACAUCCUGACACUUCAUCCCUGAAUACUUCAGCCUGUAUCUCUGUAGGCAACCGCAAUGCCAUUAUCACACUUAAAAAGCUCAACCUUGAUAUAAUGCUAUUAUCUCACCGACACAUACUCAAAUGUCCCGUUGUCUCAUUUAUAUCCUGCGUAGCUGUGGUUUUAUUUGUGAUCCAAGAGCCAAUCAAUGUUCACAUCAUUUUUUCUUUCAUGACAUUUUUAAAGAAUCCAGGCAGUUGUCUUGUAAGAGGUCCCACAAUUGGAAUUUGUCCUGUUUAUUAUUCAUGGUUAUAUUCAGGCAAGUCGCUUUUGGUAACCAUAUUACAUAGGCUUUGUUAUCUAUUUCCCAUUAUAUCAUAUCAGGAGGCCCAUUGUGUAGGUUUGUGCUAUUUUGUGACACUAAGUUUGAUCACUGGGCUAUCUGUGACAGUUUCCUGUCCUUCCUUCUCUCCAACUCCCUUACCACCCAAAAAAAAAAAAAAAAAAAAAAAACAAAUCUGACAUCACAAGAAGCAGCAAGCUACAUCUAAGCUUGUUGGGACAAAUAGCCCAAUAAACUCAGGGUCACCCAGGCUUCCCUGCUGCCUUUCAAAAAACCUGGGCACAUUCCUGCCACAGGAACUUUGCACUUGCUGUUCCUGACAUGUGUAAUGUUCCCCAUGAAGAGCAUGGUUUCCUCCCUAUCCUCAAGUCUUUGUUCAAAUAUCAGCUUUUCAGCAAGACCUUCAUUAACUAGCCUAGCCCCCAAUAUGGUUUGGCUGUGUCCCCACCCAAAUCUCAUCUUGAAUUGUAGCUCCCAUAAUUUCCAUGUGUUAUGGGAGGGACCAUGUGGGAGAUACUUGAAUCAUGGGGGCAGUUUCCCCCAUACUAUUCUUGUGGUAGUGAAUAAGUCUCACAAGAUCUGAUGGUUUUAUAAGGGGUUUCCUUUUUUGCUGGCUUUCAUUCUCUCUCUUGCCUGCCGCCAUGUAAGACAUGCCUUUCACCUUCCAACAUGAUCAUGAGGCCUCCCCAGCCACAAGGAACUGUGAGUCCAUUAAACCUCUUUUUCUUUAUAAAUUACCCAGUCUCGGGUAUAUCUUUAUCAGCAGUGUGAAAACAGACUAAUACACCCCCUUACCCUGCUCUACUUUUUCCCCAUGGCAAUUAUCACCUCCUGACAUGUCAUAUAACUGACUUAUAUUUGCUGUCUGUCUCCCUCUGGUGGUGUGUAAACUCUGUCAGCAUAGGGAUUUUUCACUGUUCUAUUCACUGCUGUAUUCACUUACAGAAUUGCUCUUCACUGGGCUGGCUCCUUCCCCAUUUUCAGGUUUCAGUUCAAAUGUAAGUCUUCCCUGACACCCCUUAUAACACAGUAACUUUCCAUCUGUUCACCCCAUUUUAGUGUAUCUAUCUUAUUUACUGCUUGUUUACUGCCUAAUGUCUUUGUUUGCUUGUUUUGAGACAGGGUCUCUGUCACACAGGCUGGAGUGCAGUGAUGCAAUCAUGGCUAACUGCAGCCUCCACUUCCCAGGCUCAAGUGAUCCUCCCACUUCAGCCUCCCAAGUGGCUGGGUCUACAGGCAUGAGAUACCAAGCAUGGGCUGUCUAGUGUCUUAUCUCACUGCUCCCACCCCUCAUGAAGACAAGGGCUUUGCCUGCUUUGUUCACUGCUAUAUUCCCAGUACUGGCACAUAGUAGGUCCUCAAUAAGUAUUUGCUGAAUGAAUGACUUCACAGGGAGGUAUAACAGUUAAAAACAUGCCCUUCAACUCACUUCUCUGGGCAUCUUGAUAUAACAGUUCAGUUCCUACCUGGCAGAGCUGAUGAGGGUUAAAAGAGCUGAGUGAAAGAAGUGACAAGGCCUAGAGUCAUAGGAUAUAUUAAUAUUUUAAAAGAGAGUUUUGAUUCUCCCACCAACAGUCUAGAACUGGGGGCAUUCACAGGGCUCUGGGAUAGAAGAGCCCUUUGUCUCCAGAGAGGGCAGAAGGCUGGCGGGAGGGGUGAGCAAUCCACCAGCACUGCCAUUUGGGUAAUAAUUGAGCAUUUUCUUAUUCUUUUUUUCUUUUUUCUUUUUUUUUUUUUUUUUUGAGACUAAGCCUCACUUUGUCACCCAGGCUGGAGUGCAGUGGCAUGAUCUCGGCUCACUGCAACCUCCGCCUCCUGGGUUCAAGAAAUUCUCCUGCCUCAGCCACCCAAGUAGCUGGGAUUACAGGCGUGUGCCACUAUGCCCGGCUAAUUUUUUUGUAUUUUUAGUAGAGACGGGGUUUCGCCAUGUUGGCCAGGCUGGUCUUGAACUCCUGACCUCAAGUGACCCGCCUGCUUUGGACUGCCAAAGUGCUGGGAUUACAGGCGUGAGACACCAUGCCCAGGGGGAACUGUAAAUUAAAACAACAAUGAGUUGAGGCACCCGGCCUUCAACUGUCAUGUUAUGAGGACACUCAAGUAGCCCUAUGAAGAGGUCUAAGAGGAACGAGGCCUUCUGCAAACAGCUAGCACCAACUUGCCAGCUAUGUAAGUGAACCAUCUUGAAAGUGAUUCUGCAGCCCCAGUAAAGCCUUCAGAUGACUGCAGCCCCAGCAACAUCUUUUUUUUUUUUUUUUUUUUUUUGAGACGGAGUCUCGCUCUGUCGCCCAGGCUGGAGUGCAGUGGCGCGAUCUCCGCUCACUGCAAGCCUUGCCUCCUGGGUUCACGCCAUUCUCCUGCCUCAGCCUCCUGAGUAGCUGGGACUACAGGCGCCUGCCACCACGCCCAGCUAAUUUUUUUGUAUUUUUGGUAGAGACAGGGUUUCAUCCUGUUAGCCAGGAUGGUCUCGAUCUCCUGACCUUGUGAUCCACCUGCCUUGGCCUCCCAAAGUGCUGGGAUUACAGGCGUGAGCCACCGUGCCUGGCCUCCAGCAACAUCUUAACCAUAACCUUGUCAGAGACCCCAAGCCAAAACCACUCAGUCAAGCCACUUGCAAAUUUUUGAUCCAUAGAAACUAUGUGAGAUAAUAAAUGUCUAUUUUUAAGCC